rnacentral:rRNA from 1 species
CAGGGCUUGACAUCCCUCGCAAUCGGUGGAAACAUCGAGUUCCCUUCGGGGACGAGGAGACAGGUGGUGCACGGUUGUCGUCAGCUCGUGUCGUGAGAUGUUGGGUUAAGUCCCGCAACGAGCGCAACCCUUGUCCUUAGUUGCCAGCAGUUCGGCUGGGCACUCUAGGGAGACUGCCGGAGACAAUUCGGAGGAAGGUGGGGAUGACGUCAAAUCAUCAUGCCCCUUAUGUCCUGGGCUACACACGUGCUACAAUGGGCUGUACAGAGGGAUGCGAAGCCGCGAGGUGGAGCGAAUCCCAUAAAACAGCUCUCAGUUCAGAUCGCAGGCUGCAACUCGCCUGCGUGAAGAUGGAGUUGCUAGUAAUCGCGGAUCAGCAUGCCGCGGUGAAUGCGUUCCC